UACGAAGGGGGCUAGCGUUGUUCGGAAUUACUGGGCGUAAAGCGCACGUAGGCGGCUUUGUAAGUUAGAGGUGAAAGCCCCGGGCUCAACCUGGGAAUUGCAUUCGAGACUGCGUAGCUAGGGUGCGGAAGAGGGAAGCGGAAUUUCCGGUGUAGCGGUGAAAUGCGUAGAUAUCGGAAGGAACACCAGUGGCGAAAGCGGCUUCCUGGUCCAGCACCGACGUUCAGGCACGAAAGCGUGGGGAGCAAACAGG
rnacentral:rRNA from 1 species